AUUGGUAGAUAAUAGUCCCAUGGACUUUCCUGCCCCGGUUGGCUUUGAACUGCAAUCCUCAGAUCUCAGACUCAUGGAUAGCUAAAAUUACAGGUGUGAGCUACCGGCACCCAGACAAACACAUUUUUCAGAGACCCAAAAGAUUUGAAAAUACACUAUUAACCAUAGCUUCCUACAGUACUGAAAAAGUACAUGCCUUAAAAUUUUUUUUUCCAUUUGCUUCUUAUUUUUCAAUGAGUAUUGAAAAAUACCUUUAAAGACUGCUACUCCUAUUUACACAUAUUACAACAUUUAAUUUCUAAAUUAGGUCACAGAAAAAAAUUAAUAGUGUUUGCUAAUAAAGCAGUAAGUUCAGCAAUAUCCUGUGGUAAAAGUUACUUAAAAUUUAUGAGUUAUGCUGCCGGGUGCUAGUGGCUCACACUUGUAAUCCUAACAACUAAGGAGGCUGAGAUUUGAGGAUCACGGUUCGAAGUCAGCCCAGGCAGGAAAAAGUCUUUGAGAUUCUUAUCUCCAAUAA